rnacentral:rRNA from 1 species
UACGUAGGGGGCAAGCGUUGUCCGGAAUCAUUGGGCGUAAAGAGCGUGUAGGCGGCCCGGUAAGUCCGCUGUGAAAGUCCAGGGCUCAACCCUGGGAUGCCGGUGGAUACUGUCGGGCUCGAGUCCGGAAGAGGAAAGCGGAAUUCCAAGUGUAGCGGUGAAAUGCGUAGAGAUUUGGAGGAACACCAGUGGCGAAGGCGGCUUUCUGGUCGUGUAACUGACGCUGAGGCGCGAAAGCGUGGGGAGCAAACAGG